UCGGAUUGCAGCCUGCAACUCGGCUGCAUGAAGCUGGAAUCGCUAGUAAUCGCGGAUCAGAAUGCCGCGGUGAAUACGUUCCCGGGUCUUGUACACACCGCCCGUCACACCAUGGGAGUAGGUAAUGCCCGAAGUCGGUGACCUAACCGGAAGGAAGGAGCCGCCGAAGGCAGGACUUAUAACUGGGGUGAAGUCGUAACAAGGUACC
rnacentral:rRNA from 1 species